CUUGCAUAUAAGUAUUCAUGAGUCAACAAUAGUAACCAAUAACCAUUUUAAAUCGGUCGAUGCAAACAGUUAUAUCGAAAAAACAAGCUGCCACCAUAAACCAUGGCUUAAGCAUGCUCCCAAAAGCCAAUUUUUAAGAAUUCGGCGUAAUUGUAAACUAGACUCAGAUUACGCAGAACAGGCAGACUACAUCAUGAAACAAUUUAU